rnacentral:rRNA from 1 species
AACGCUGGCGGUAUGCUUAACACAUGCAAGUCGAACGGAAACGAAACUAGCUUGCUAGUUGGCGUCGAGUGGCGGACGGGUGAGUAACGCGUAGGAAUCUACCUAGUAGUGGGGGAUAGCCCGAAGAAAUUCGGAUUAAUACCGCAUAAUCUAUUCGUAGUAAAGUGGGGGACUUUCGAGCCUCACGCUAUUGGAUGAGCCUGCGUAAGAUUAGCUUGUUGGUGGGGUAAAGGCCUACCAAGGCAACGAUCUUUAGCUGGUCUGAGAGGACGAUCAGCCACAUUGGGACUGAGACACGGCCCAGACUUCUACGGAAGGCAGCAGUUAGGAAUAUUGGACAAUGGGGGCAACCCUGAUCCAGCUAUACCGCGUGUGUGAAGAAGGCCCUAGGGUUGUAAAGCACUUUAAGCAGGGAAGAAGCAUAUUAAGUUAAUAUCUUAAUAUGUUGACGUUACCUGAAGAAUAAGGACCGG